rnacentral:lncRNA from 1 species
GAAGAAGGUAAGUCAGUUUAACCAAAUCGGAGUACUCUUUUAACUUAACCCAAGUCUCUAUUGGAAUUUGAUAAACGUCACAUCUAUACUGAGUUGUCUUAUCCAAAAUCUGCCACUUCCAAGAGAGCUACUCGUUUAUCUCAUUAGCCUUUAACUCUUCUAGUUCACAUUCGAUUACUUCCUAACUAGCUUACCUUGUAACCUAACU